CUCAGUAGCUUAGUUGGUAAAGCAGUCGUCUAGCACAAAGGUCGUGGACUCGAAUUCCACCUGAG
rnacentral:tRNA from 1 species